rnacentral:rRNA from 1 species
AUUGAACGCUGGCGGCAUGCCUUACACAUGCAAGUCGAACGGCAGCACGGGAGCAAUCCUGGUGGCGAGUGGCGAACGGGUGAGUAAAGUAUCGGAACGUGCCCCGUCGUGGGGGAUAACGUAGCGAAAGUUACGCUAAUACCGCAUACGAUCUAUGGAUGAAAGCGGGGGAUCGCAAGACCUCGCGCGAUUGGAGCGGCCGAUAUCAGAUUAGGGAGUUGGUGGGGUAAAGGCUCACCAAGCCGACGAUCUGUAGCCGGUCUGAGAGGCCGACCAGCCACACUGGGACCGAGACACGGCCCAGACUCCUACGGGAGGCAGCAGUGGGGAAUUUUGGACAAUGGGCGAAAAACGGCUCUAGCCAUGCCGGGUGCAGGAUGAAGGCCUUCGGGUUGUAAACUGCUUUUGUACGGAACGAAAAGGUUUGGGCUAAUAAGCUGAGCUGAUGACGGUACCGUAAGAAUAAGCACCGGCUAACUACGUGCCAGCCGCCGCAGUAA